UGGCCAAAAAGUUUGUUCAGGUUUUUCCAUAAGAUGUUACGGAAAAACCCAAAUGAGUUUUUGGCCAA
rnacentral:miRNA from 1 species